GGGCUAUUAGCUCAGUGGUAGAGCGCGCCCCUGAUAAGGGCGAGGUCUCUGGUUCAAGUCCAGGAUGCCCA
rnacentral:tRNA from 1 species